GCUUACGGCCAUACCACCCUGAGCACGCCUGACCUUGUCUGAUCUCGGAAGCUAAGCCGGGCUGGGCUUGGUUAGUAAUAGGAUCGGAGACUGCCUGGGAGUACCUGGUGCUGUAUGCC
ensembl:rRNA 5S_rRNA 5S ribosomal RNA